AUUGAACGCUGGCGGCAUGCCUUACACAUGCAAGUCGAACGGCAACGGACCUUCGGGUGCCGGCGAGUGGCGAACGGGUGAGUAAUAUAUCGGAACGUACCUUUCAGUGGGGGAUAACGUAGCGAAAGUUACGCUAAUACCGCAUAUUCUGUGAGCAGGAAAGCAGGGGAUCGCAAGACCUUGCGCUGAUUGAGCGGCCGAUAUCAGAUUAGCUAGUUGGUGAGGUAAAGGCUCACCAAGGCGACGAUCUGUAGCGGGUCUGAGAGGAUGAUCCGCCACACUGGGACUGAGACACGGCCCAGACUCCUACGGGAGGCAGCAGUGGGGAAUUUUGGACAAUGGACGCAAGCCUGAUCCAGCCAUGCCGCGUGCGGGACGAAGGCCUCGGUUGU
rnacentral:rRNA from 1 species